rnacentral:rRNA from 1 species
GCUUAGCCCUAAAUCUUGAUACUUCACCUACAUAAGUAUCCGCCCGAGAACUACGAGCACAAACGCUUAAAACUCUAAGGACUUGGCGGUGCCCUAAACCCACCUAGAGGAGCCUGUUCUAUAAUCGAUAACCCACGAUACACCCAACCAUCUCUUGCCAAUGCAGCCUACAUACCGCCGUCGCCAGCCCGCCUAAAUGAAAGAACAAUAGCGAGCAUAAUAGCUACUCCGCUAACAAGACAGGUCAAGGUAUAGCAUAUGAGAUGGAAGAAAUGGGCUACAUUUUCUAACAUAGAACAUUCAACGAAAGAGAGUGUGAAACCCCUCUCAGAAGGCGGAUUUAGCAGUAAAAUAGAACAAGAACGUCUAUUUUAAGCUGGCCCUAGGGCAC